rnacentral:lncRNA from 1 species
UGGGGAUCCGGAAAUGUUUGAUCAUCGCUGCGACCUAAGCGUCUACCAAAAUACGCGUAUAGGUCAGAUCUGUCAAAAGCAUCACCAUUAACCAUGAUGCUUUCUCUAAAGACAUACAUCUUCACACUAAUGAAAGAUAUUGCCUACUAAUAAUUACCUAGUCACUACAAUAACUAUCAUAAUAAACUACAAAGUGAUGACAUAAUGCAUGUCUAUAGGUAAAUUUAUACAAUAAAUGCAUACUUCUAAUUGUUCAAAGGACAAUCUGCAUCUUCAACUGGUCCUCUGUUUGCUGAUAGAAGAAUUUCAUAGGUUCUAAUAUAAAUAACCUGAAGAAUAAACCCAAUAGUACAACAUCAUCACAAUGGAAAAGCAUUUCUAUUGGACAAUGUACAUUAAUCCUGCCACCCACGUAACUGAUACACACGGACAUACUGAUAGACUCAAACAACACAUGUCGCAUGCAAUUGCAAUGUCUCAGCAUUCAUAAAGCUAAACCAUCUGACAAAACGUUGUAUCAGACACCGCCAUAAAUAAAUGAGUUUACAUAUAUAACUUCCCAGUGUACUAAUUUCUCUAGGCAGGUACUCAAUUCCAUAUGGAACAACUACCUAAAAGCAAUGUGAAGCGAUGCUAAUUCAAUGACACUUAAAUGAAGAUGUUUUAAUGCAUACACAAUACUAAACAUCAUAAUAACAAACACGUGAACAAAACAAUAACCAUCUUCUUCGAAUCAAAAUAAGAGAGAUGUCGAAUUUUGCAACUGCCAUUGCCAGAAUGGCCUCCUCAAAAUAAAGCAGAAUAGAAUGACAAGCACCAAAAAUUUUAUAAACCCACAGAAAUACUGCCUAACUAGUUUAUUGUGGUCCGACCAAAGACUUACCACAAAGCUUACCUAUAAUGCAAGCACCAAUUUCGGUGUGCAUUGUUUCUGGUUCAAUGUGUAAAAACAAAAUUUCACAUCAAUAACGUUACGAACAUAAAUGCAUCUUCAUUCACAUAAAGUCCAAACGAAGAUACCUUAUAAAGACAAAAGCCGGAGAGGUUUGUAUCCAUAGUAUAUGUAUCUAACAACACAUGAUGAACAUCAAGCCAGGUCGAGAUAUUUUAUUAGCAAUAGUAGUAAAUUGCUUCAUUUUUUAUUUUAUUUUCAUUUCAUUUUCAGCUAAAUAAUUCCACAAACUUAAUCAACUGCCAGUCAUCAUGGUUUCGAUAAUCAUCUGCCAGGCACACAACACUUUACCAAUUUCCAUAAUACAUAUGAAAAUUGCACAUAUAUUGGAAUAAUUAAGGAUUUUAAUUUAACAACAAAGAGAGUAUCUUCAUUUCAAAACUACUAACUACAAAGCUUCUUAGUUAUCAUUCUAACAUAAUUUGCUUAUAAUAUGCUUUUAUAAUGUUAUUGUUCAUAUUAUUCAUUUAAUUAACAAAUCAAAAGUAAGAUUACUCUCAUUACUCAGGCCUAUAAUAUUCUUAAGUAUACAACAUCAUACUUAAUUUAUCCAUGCUUAAUAAUAUAUUUCACACCUCAGCACUAGUCCAAUUGCUUCAUGUAUAUAUAUAUAUGCAGAUAUAUUUUGAUUUAACAAAUUAUAUUUUGAUAUAUAUGACUGACAACAUAUGAACCUCAAUAGACAUUGUUUUGCCUGUGCACAAGGAAAACAAUACAUAAAAAAGGGCUAAAACAUCCUAUCUUGUCAACACCAUAUACUCUCGCGGCUUCCUGAUAACAGUUUUUCUCUAAAUUUCCCUGCAUUUUCAGGAUGUUAUAUACAAUUGUCGAAAGUACCUUUCAAUCAACUAUUUAGGCAAAAUUUCUUAAAUGACAAGUUUUCUUGCAAAUGCAACAUACAACAAUUUACCCAAUAAGACAUAAUGGUUAAUAAUCAUUAUGAUAUCCACAAUUAUUGCCAUAUAUCAUAUGUUCUCAUUUGCAUAGUUCGAGGAUCUGUAUCAACUUUAAAAUAAAUUUAUCUUCAUAACAAACUGACUCACUUUGUUGCUAUAACAUACAACAUCACCAGCUGAAUUCGCACAUUUGUUGCUUACUCGAAGUUAACCUCCCAUGCCAUUAUCUCAGUCGGUUAUCUCAUAGACAUGAAGUUCUGCAACUUUCGCAACACAAGCAACAACCACCAGUUAUUAACAAGUAUAACAAAAAAUAAUAUAAUUUUGCAUAUGGGAAGUAAAAGUAAGUGAAAAUAAUAACUUCAACAAUUCAUUUUAUAACAAUUAUUCACUUAUUUCACUAUAUCGACUGCUAACAAUUAAACUCUUCAUACAAUCCGUAAGAACAAUAAUCGGUGUCCAACAUAAAUCUAAAAGAUUUACCUUUCUGUUCAUGUAAUCGGCGUCCGAACAUGCCUGAGCAGUCACCAAAUUUGGGGUCUUGCCAUUGAUCGCGAGGAGACAAUUAGUACGUCUUCCCCACUGUGCCACAGCCACGAGCGAUGCAGUGAUUUCGACUGAUUUCCCAAUUACUUACACUUUUCUUUUCUUUUCUUUUUAUUUUUCCUUCGGUUAUUUGACAUUGCUUUUACCGGCCACACCAUUUGUCUUCUUUAACUUGAUGUUCUUUUACUGACCGUUCGAUUUCACUACUCUUGAAUCCAACAGAUAGACCACAAUAGGACAAAAUCGCGGGUACGUUCCAACCGGUGGAAGGAAGUUUUGGCCGAGUAAAAUAAUAAAUACAACAACAACAAUAAUAAUAAUAAUAAUAAAAGAAUCAUAAUUUAUAUUGCACAAGUUAUCUCAAUGACUCGUGAGUCGUGUCGUUUUUCGUGGGUGGGUGACUUGGAUUUAGCCUCAUAUGUCACUGCUCGCGUCAUCUGAAUUUCUCCUUCAUUUCCCACACAUAAUAACAGCGAUUAAUUAAGAAGCACUGAAGCACAAAACCGCGAACCAGAUUUGUCAUCAAACCUAGUAAUUGCAGAUUACAAAGCUUGUACCAACAACCAAAAAUGAGCUGGUGGUGGGCUGGGGCAAUUGGCGCUGCCAAGGUAAAGACUUAUAAUUAGAUUAUCUCUUUCAAUUGCUGUGCUUGAAAAUUUUAUUCUUAUUAGUUCAUACUUUUAAAAUCUUGAGUUUAAUUUUCAUUUUAAAUUACAGAAGAAAUUCGAAGAAAAUGAGCGACCACCGCAACCUCAAGACUACCAGCACGUGGGACUCCUGAUAGGCGUUACGGGAAUUGUGGGAAACAGCCUAGCUGAGAUUUUGCCCCGACAGGAUACUCCCGGGGGCCCGUGGAAGGUCUACGGAGUGGCCCGACGCCCCCGGCCCGACUGGAACGCCGAUCACCCGAUCGAGUACAUCCAAUGCGACGUUUCCGACGAAGACGACACGCAAGCGAAGCUCACAAAACUCACCGACGUCACCCACAUCUUCUACGUGACGUGGGCCAGCCGUCCCACGGAAGCCGAGAACUGCGAGGUUAACGGCGCCAUGCUUCGCAACGUGCUCCGUUCCGUUAUCCCGAACGCGCCAAAUCUCCGCCACGUCUGCCUCCAAACAGGAGCGAAACACUACGUGGGACCGUUCGAGUCGUUCGGCAAGAUACGGCCUCACGACACGCCUUUCACCGAAGACCUGCCAAGACUGAAUGUGCCAAACUUUUAUUACACUCAAGAAGACAUAUUGUUUGAAGAAGUUGAAAAAAGAAAGGGGCCGUUGUCAUUGACUUGGUCGGUACACCGGCCUCAUGUAAUAUUUGGGUUUUCACCGUAUAGUUUGAUGAAUGUUGUGGGCACUCUGUGUGUGUAUGCGGCUAUAUGUAAACAUGAAGGGGUUCCUUUACUGUUUCCAGGGAGUAAAGAUUGUUGGGAGGGCUAUUCGGUUGCUUCGGACGCGGAUUUGAUUGCGGAGCAACAGAUUUGGGCGGCGGUGGAUCCGUAUGCCAGAAACGAAGCUUUUAACUGCAGCAAUGGGGAUGUUUUUAAGUGGAAGCAUUUGUGGAAAGUAUUGGCUGAGCAGUUUGAGAUUGCGAAUUAUGGGUUACCAGAGGAGGGCGACAGAGUGAGAUUGGAGGAAAUUAUGAAAGGUAAAGAAGGUGUGUGGGAGGAGAUUGUGAGAGAGAAUCAGCUGCAGCCCGCAAAGUUGAGUGAGGUGGCUGUCUGGUGGUUUGCAGAUUUGAUGUUAGAUGGAGGGUUUUUGUUGUUGGAUAGUAUGAAUAAGAGCAAGGAGCACGGAUUCUUGGGCUUCAGGAAUUCUAAGAAUUCUUUCGUUAAUUGGAUUGACAAGAUGAAAACUUACAGGAUUGUGCCUUAGAGGAGUGAUAUUCUGUGAAGGUUGUAAUUGUUGUUUGGUGAGUAAAAUGGUUAUUAUGUUUCCUCAAUCAUGAAUCAAUGGUUUUUUUGUCUGACAUUGAAAAAUCUACAGUCUCUUGUCACAUCUGUUUUAUAAAAAUAAAAUUGGGGACUUGUUAAUUUCUGUUUCUUUGUGUUCAUCGGUUCAUCCCGGCUUUUCUUUCAUCUUCCUUGGCAUCGCCAAUCACUUGUAAUAAUUGCACAACAAAACUGAGCUUUUAGAAAAAUACUUUUAUCGGACAGGUGUACAAUUCAUCCCUACCCCUAGCUUUCUAGCUCUAUAUUUUACAUCUCUCCUACUAUGUAUACCAAGGCCCUAAAUAAAUGAAACAAAUAAUGGAGACAUGUCGUCCCAUGCUUGAAAAAUGUUUCUCAUCAGAGAUAUAUACAUCAUUGAUCGUUGAUAGAAACUCUCAGAUGUGUGUGGCAUGCAUAAUUAUUUAAUUACAAUGAAUCUAGCUAUUCAAUUGCAUAACCGAAUGAUCAAUAAGGCAGAAUCAAGCUUUUGUGGUAUUCUUGUGACAAAAUAUUCUGCUUUUUUCGUUUGAGAAGAUGACAAAAUAUAGAAUACUUAUUAAGUACUUGAAAAUACAGAGCUUGAUGAGACAGACAUUGGGGUUCCAACACCUUACCGCCAGCAGGUCCUCAAAAUCAAGAAAGUACUCGAAACAUGGGAUAUGUCGGAUGUUAAGGUAGGGACUGUUGAACAAUUUCAAUGAUAUCAGUGUGUAUUUUGUUGGUUGAAUUUCUCAGGUUUUUAUUUGCUUUCAUGGAAACAAUAGUAUAAAUAUCUGUCAGGACAGAGCUCAUCGUGAUGACAUUGACUGAUGAACAAUUGUUGCCAUCUUGUAUGAUUUGAUCCACAUGAUAGUGUUACAGAGAUCUAUUUAUGGCUUGGCGUUGGUUAAUGAAAAAUCUAAUUCAUCCCACAUCGGAACAGUAUGGGAGUGCAGCUACGACAACAGCUAUAAAUAAUGAGUGCUAAUCAACUGAAAAACAUACUUACCUGGACGGGGUCAAUCGGCGAUCAUGAAGGCCCAUGGCCUAGGUUGGUGGCCUCCAUUGCACUUGGGAGGUGCACCCGCCUAAGGUCAGCCCAAAGUGGUUGAGCCUACGUCAUAAUUUGUGGCAGUGGGGGCCUGCGUUCGCGCGGCCCCCUCCCCAACUCAAUUAAAAAUUUAACUACCUUUGUGCGACAUCGUCUCAACGGCUGUCUUUCAACUUACAAUUAUAUUCUAAGCGAGUUUCAUAAUCCUGAUCAGCCUGAAAAUCGAUUGUACAUUGUCGUCUGGUUGUGACUAGUGCCCUAAGGGUGUCACGGUCAGAUCUCUGCUAAAGUCAAGGCGUAUCUUAGUGUACUUACCUAAUAAGAUCCUAAUUCAGGUUUAUUUUAUUAUUUAAAAAUUGAAAAAAAAAAACUGAAUAAUUAUAUUUGCUCACCUAAAAUUAGUUUUUCUUUAUUUUCUUGUUUAAGAUGUAGGAUUUUAAUAUUUUUUAAUUAUUUAAUAUUAAAUCUUGAUCGAAUUUAGACCUCACUGAGAUUUAGUUAAGAACAUCUCCAAAAACCUCUAUUAAUUUUACUCUUCAAAUAUAUAUUUGUUUACAUAUGUGGUAAAUAAAAGAGUGAAAAAAUAUGUUAUUCUCUAAAAACUCUUCAAAUAGAAAUAAGUUAAUAUUAUUUUAAUCAAAUAAUUAUUUUUUAAAGGAAAAGUUAAUAGCAGUUAAACCACUUCUCUCUCUUUCUCUAAUGAAAAAUAAUAAAAUAUAAAUUGAAGAAGAGAAAUCAACUCUCCAAAUUUGAAGAGAGAGAAUCAUCUUUUAUUUAAAGAAUCUUAAUUGGAGUAUUUUUUAGAGCCUUAAAUAUUGAUGUGGCUCUUCAAAUAAGUAAUAAAAAUUUUAUUUGAAGAGCCUUUUGGUGAUGCUAUAAGGAUUAUUCUCUAUUUUGAAAGUUAAAUUUCCAUCAAAUAAGGUUGUUUGAUGAUUUCUACUUAAAAAAAAAAAAUUCAAGGCAAUUAAAAAUUAUUAUGCAGAAAAUCUGUUAACGGUUUAUAUAUGAAAAAAAAUUAAUCAUAGAUAUUUAUCAUAAAAAUUUCAACCAAUCUCAUGUUAACUUUCUUUUAAAUAAAAAUUUUGCCUAAGACGUAAAAUUUUAUUGCGCCGACCUUAACCCAUAGUUUAGGAUGGAUAGAUUUUGUUGACUUUUUUACCAUAGGUACAAUAUGAGUGCCUUAACUGACUUGGAUCCUUAUUAUCCUACUACGUGUAUGGCCUAAAUUGACUAUAAAUAAAAUGAGCCUGGAAAUGUAUUUAAUAUUCUAAAAGCUUGUCCGAAAUUGGCUACAAACAAAAUAAGAGCAGAAAUGUAGUUAAUAUUCUGAAGUUGGUAGUUGAUUACAAUUUUAAUCAAUCAUUGUUCUCUUUAUUAUCAUAAUUUCUCUCACCCAAUGGAGAAAGACUGUAUAAUCGAGUCCAUUUAGGUGAUGUCGGGGUUCAAGAAAGAUAUUUUAUAUUUUAUCUCAAACGAUGUGUCAUUUAUUAAAUAGUUAAUAAAUUAAUGAAUAUCAAAUCAAUUGUAAUAAUUUUUGGGAUAAAAAAUUAAAAAUAUAUAAAAUUACUCUUUUUAUGCGGAGAUGGAAGCUUGCAAUUUAUCAUGUUCCAAUCUUGAAGACCAUGGAAGAACGUGGACAAAGAUUGAAAAAAAAAUUGUCACUUUGUACCCAAAAAAUAAUUCUAAAGUUUGUUUAAAUGAUCAUACAACACUUAGUUUCAUAAAUGGUUACAUAAAUAUUUUAUUAUUAUUAUAGUAUUAUACCUUUUUGCAACUAUACCCAAAAUUGGUAUAGUAAAUACAAAAUGUCAUUUUCUAUGGAGAGAUAUUUGAGGAUCGCAAAAAAACAAUGCCGACCACCUAAAAAAUAUAGGUACGAAAACUAUAUUUAUUAGAAUACUAUAUUUAAUUAUUUUCAAUCUGUAUUUUUAUCUUUGUAUAUGGUAUAUUGGCUUUUCAAUUCAACCACUCUACGAGUUUCUUUGAGAUUGAGGAUGAACACUAUAAGUAGAUUAUUUUAUAAGUUUUUACAAAAAUGAUAUUUGGUAAAUUUUCUAAAAACUGCUCAUUUAAGAAGUUUCUAUAUUUUAACAACAGCUUUUAAAAGUAUAUAUGAGAUUGCACAUAAACUUUUCCUAUUUUGAGUUCUUAUCUUUUUUAUAAGCAACUUAUUAGACAAGUCAUCACAACUAAUAUUAAUAUUUUAACAAAAUAACAAUUCUGUCUUGUUUUUUAAAUAAAUCCUAAUAUAUAAAUAAAAGAUAGUUUAAACUAACAUUUAUAGUUUAAACUAACAUUUAUUUCAAUCUUUAUAUAAUAAAACAAUCGUUUCACAAUAAAAUUUAACAAUUACAUAUAUUUUACUUUUCAAUCUUAUAGCAACUACAACAAUACAAUAAAUUAAACACGAAACUACUUAGUCAGCAACUUAUUUCUAGUCGCUUAUCAGCCACCGCAAUCUCAUAACUGGUGCUAAGCCAUUGUAAUAAUUCACCUACAACAAUCAAAACUCUGAUAGGAACUAGGCAACAACAUCGUUUAUUAAUUAGUAUAUAUUAACAAUCAAUGAAAAUAAUAAGUCUUGGGCCAUGACUGAUAACCCGCUUUAAACAAUUUUCAUAAAACCCAAAAGUCAAAACAUAGAGGCAUGAGUGUUGUUGAAUCGUGGAGUGAAAAAAACUAUCAAAUUCAUCUUUUCGAGCUAAAAAGCCAAACAAAUGCCGAGGGCGGAGCUAAGAAUUUAUGGUGCGUUUACUUUAAUGAGGUGGAAUAGUAAUGAGAAUGGGUUAGAAUGGAAAUGAGAAAUGUGAAUGAAUUCAAAUGUUUAUUUGGCAAAAAUAAAUGGGAAUGAGAAUGUGUUAGAAUGUCAUUAAUGUGUUUACUUGACAAAAUAAAUGGGAAUGAGGAAUGAGAAUAAGAAAUGGGAAUGAGGAAUGGGGAUGAGAAUUAAUUUACCAAAAUACCCAUAGCAUUAAAUAAUGUAAUUUUCAUUAACUAGAUACAUGUAUAAAUAUUAUUAUAAAAAUGAUAUUAAGUAUAAAUAUUAUUAUAAAAAUGAUAUUAAUUAAAAAAUAAAAAUAAUAAAAAUAAAUGUUAAUAACGAUAAUAUUAAUAAAAAUAAUUAAUAAUAACUAAAAUAAUAAAGUUAAUAAAAUCUAAUAAUAAUAAUAAUAAUGACAUUUAAAAUAAUAAAAUUAAUUGUGAUUUGAACGAGAGUAAUUCAAGAAAUAUGAAAAAAAAUUAAAGGGAUACAAAAAUCAGUUCAGGGAAUGAGAGUCCCCAUUACCAACUCCCCAUGAGAAUGAGAUUCUUAUUUCUUAUUCUCAUUCUCAAAUUACAUUUUGCCAAGUAAUACAUGUGUUUCAUUUAUAUUCAUUCAUUCUCAUUCCCUAAACCCUCAAGUAAACACAUCAUUAAUUUAACCGGAGUCAUAAUAGAGGAAUUAAAAAAUUGACUAGGUUAUAGCAUAAAAUUUAUAAAAUUGAAGAGGCAUUAAAAUGGAGAUUAUAAUAGUUAAAUUUAAAUCAUAAAAUUUAGUAUACCAUAAAAAAGGUCAAAGAUAUAUAUAUUUUUAAAACAUGCAUGCAUCCAUGGUUCCGCCACGGUCAUACCCUAACGCAAACUUAAGACCGGUCUUAACAACGCCAGGUUUUUAAAGGGAGAUGGAGGAAAGAAAGAAAUACUCACUUGAUUCGAGUGCCCUCAAAGCCCCCUUAGACUUGACUCAUGAAUCAGUAGUUACAAGUGAUCGCGUGGAAAUUGUCAACUUGCUGGGCUAAUUAUGCAAUAAUCGUUACGUGUUGUUAUAAACUUAUAGUCAACGCAAAUAAGUUGUUGUAUCAGUUAACAAAUUAUUCUAAUUAAUUUUAAGAAAACAUUUAUAUCCUAAAUUGUUUCAUAAUUUGAAUUGGUCAUCAUCAACUAGCAAAUAAUUAAGAGUCAUCAAUAUUUGAAAUGGUAAGAUGUUAAUAGCGAUAAAACCGAGCACGAUUAAUAUUAUAAAAAAAAAGCACAUAACAUGAUGGAUAAUAAUACCAGCAAGAAAGAUCAAUUAUCUCAGAUUAUUAUAAUAAAAUCAGAAAGGUAGUGGCCCAGCAGGGCCAAGUGGGCGACCAACUUUGGCCCGCAGCAGGUCAGGUCCGUUGAAGGAUAAAGACGGGAGUAUCAAAAUGAAGUGACUGCCCGAGAUUUCAUUUAGCCAUGAUCCUGAUCACGAUCCUAAUCAUGAUCAAGGAGACAAUUAAAUAUAAUUAAGUGGGGUAUGUAUGAAUGGUUAAGGAUUAGAAAGUAUGAACUGGUAAGCAAAGGCAAAUGAAAAGAAGAAAUUGAGAAGAAACAUCAACGUCGAUGUACAAUUAUGUAUUAAUUGUAGUGGAUGACUUAUCUUUUUUUUUUUUUUUUUUUUUUCUUUCUCCCCCACCUCCUAAAGUCGGAAAACGCCAACAUUAUGCAUGGUUUGCACAUGGACUCCAUGUCUCUUUCAUGUUUUGUUUAAGAAUGAAACUCAAAUGAGGACAUCCACAUGAGUAUGACAAGUUAUUUAUGAGACAAUCGAGAAAUUGUCAAGUCAGCAUCUUUCAUGCUGGUUAAGUCAGAUAUUGAACGGUACGACAUCAAUUAUUUGUAAGGCUAUGGUUAUCUUUGAGUUAGCUCCAACGUGAAGUAUUCAUUCACAAUCACAUAAUUAAAAUAAUAAAUAAUAAAAGGCACGUAAUAAUUUUGUGUGUGUGGUUGUGAAGGAGUACUUUACCGUAGAGUAUCUUCAACAUAACCGAAAUCUAUUUGUAAAUAUUAUGUAUAAAUAAUAUUUUUUAAAUUUAACAUACUUGUGUUAAAUGUAUAAAAUUUGAAAUUUUAUUAAUUUUAGAUUUUUUCUAAAAAAAUUUAUUUGUUUUUAGUAACUUAUGUUUGAUUUUUAGACAUUUGUAUCUAAAUAUAAAAAAUAAACUUUUGUGACUUUUAUCUGAAUAAAAAAAUAUUUAAACAAGAAGUAAAUAUUAUAUUUCAAAAAUAUCUUUAUAAAAUAUGAUUAAAUUAAGUACGAAAUUAAAAAUGAUAUUAAUUAUUCAUGGAUCAUAAAUCUUUGGAGAUCUCUUGUUAUUAUUUAUAAAAGGGAUGGAUAUUCCUCAAGUAAUUCUGACAGAGAUGGAAACAUAUACAAAUCAAGAAUGGGUACGAAGAUAUCGAUCUUCUCUUCUCCUCUCCCCAUUACAAUUUAAGGUUUAAACGAUAAAGGAAGCAUGCCGUUUUUAUCAUGAUUAAGUAAGGACGCGUGUCACACGCGCGAUCAAGCUUUGGAAAAUCAAUUGUGUUGGUUUGGUCUUGGAAAACCUUCGUUCUACCCUCUCUUUUGUUUCAAAGACUCGUAACGAGCAAAACUUACUUGGAAACCCUUGUACUACAAAAAUAGAAGUCAUGUUUGUUGGAUAGAUUUCCAGCUAUGUAUUGCAAUGUUGUUUGUUAAUAGCAAAUGAAUAAUUAAACGAUUUUACGUCAUUCUCAAACUUCAAUAAAAUUGAGCACGUAUACAAAAUAAAACUGAUCAAUAUUUCAACUUUCGAAGAUCAACAUGAUCUAUAAUACAUAGCAACUAACAAUACAUAAAUAUCCCCAAGGACGUGAUUGGAUUAGUUGUAGUACAGCUGUAACCUCUAUCAAAAUCCGGAUUCAAUUUUUAGGGGUGGUAAGGAGGGUAAAACAUUGUAUUUGGGUUUGCACACUCUCCUUAACUUUUUUUUAAAAUAAAAAAAAAUUACAGAAAGAUAGCUACCAAUACAUAAGAGAUCGAUGAAUUAAGAUUAAAAAAUCAGAAGGGUGGGGUUCCACUUGGGCCAAGGGGCCCACCGACCAUUGGUCUGCAGUAGCUUUAAAAAAUGCAGCACAUAAAUACUACCACAAUAAUUAAUAAUGCCCGAAAUAAGUACAAAAAAAAAAAUCAAAACUUCUAUUUGUAGGGAUAGCGAUGGAUCGGUUCGGUUCGAUUCGGUUUGCUUAUGUAUUAAACUAAACCGAUCAGUUUUUGCCCAAUAUAUAAACCAAAUUGAAUUGGUUCGGUUUGAUUUUUAUAUUUUUUUAGUUUUUUCAGCUUUCGAUUUUUUUUAACCAAUAAGUUUUUAUUAAUUUUUUAAAUCAAACCAAAUUGGAUUGAACCAAAUCACCGGUUCAAUUCAAUUUUUUCUUGGCAUCAUUUUUUAUACCCACCCCUAAUUUUUGGUACCACCCAAUUCAAUUAAAGUUACCAUAAACAAAUAAGACAGAGAAUACCACCAAAAAAAAAAAAAAAUGCAAAGUCUCGGCCCUCCUGACAGCAAACCCCAGCCUGGCGGCAUCUCCUUAUCUCUCCCUAAUUAGAGCUUUCUUUAUUUUCGUUUCCUUAGAAAUGCAAUGCAAGGAUAUAUAUAUAUAUAUAUAUAUAUACGCUGAUGGUUAUUGAUCAAGCAGAUGUAGAAAAUAUAUAGUGGUGUCUAUGUGUGUAGAUUCAAGAAAGCUUAAUGGUUAUGGAUUAGAAUUGUGGACUAGCAAAUGGAGAAGGUAAAUGGAAUUUGUUUAAAUGUAUAUGCUAGGGAACUUUUAUUUACACAGCCUGAUGUUCCAUUCCGAUAAUGAAAGACUAGUAAGUAGAAAGAACCAUUUACAUAUGGUUCAUGCAGUGCAUGUUCUAUCUCGAAAUUACACCAAUUAAGCGCAAUAUGAAUUCAUGACAAUUCGAUAGGAUACAGGGGAGUCAAUUUGAUGAAAAGAUGAACAAAAGAAUGUAAAACAAAACGUAAAUUCAAAUUUCUCGGUUUGCGCUUCAUAUAUGCAUUAAACACAGAACACUUCUAAGUUCUUUGUACGUUAAUAUUUGCAACCAAUCGCUCUAUCAACAAUUAAACGACUCUUGAUAUAUAUAUAUUAAUAUUAUUCGAAGAAUUUGAGUUUCUCUGCUGCAAACAAUAAUGUUUGGCAAACGUAGGACAUUAUAUUUAUUUGUAGGAUGAUUUAUAACAAGAGAUUUCUUAUACAUAUUUUAGCUUUCCUUUUGCUAUUGUAGCUGUCUUACUAUUUUGAGGGGUAAGGUUCAUUAUGUCUCCCCCAACUAGGUAUAAAUUAUUUUUGGUUCUCAAUAAAAUUACCUCGCUCAAGUUUUAUUAAAAAAAAUUGUCUAUUUAGUUAUUUUUUAUUGUUAGGAGGUCCGUCAAAACUUAAAUCGAUCUUUUUAACCCCCCGUCUCUCCAAACUAUUUGAAAACUACUUGAUCUAAGUCCAGGACUUUAAUUCCAACAUAUCUUGAUAAUAUAAUAUGAGUAAUAAAUUGACACUUACUUGCAAUUAAUUUAAUUAUUAAAAGAUGUCACACGAUUUUGAUGAUUGAUAAACCACAAAGUUAAAUAACACUAUACACAUCAUAAUUAAUGAUAUGUGAAACAAUGAUUUGAGACAAACUAUAUUAACCCCAGUUACGUAAAUGUAAUAUAAUAAAUUAUUAUCGUACAUUAUAUUUCGAAUCCAUCCUUUACACCGUAAGAUCGAAUUAAAAAGUACCAAAUAAUUAAAUUAAUGGUUAAUUAGCAUCAUUUUCAUCCGAUUAAGCUUUCAUAAAAUAACAAUGAACAAAACCAUCCAAUAACUCAUAAAUAAUAAAUCAUAAUUAACUAUCUUAAACAAAUUCCUUAACAAUUAAAACUACUGUCUUCAUUGCAUAAGCAACAUCAGAGUAAAAGUAAAGCAGUACACAGAACUCUAUGACAAGGUGGCAAUUGGCAUGCAAGAUGAUCACGGAGGUGGUGGGCCGAGAUCAGCUGGGCCAGGAGGUCCAGGUGGGCCCAUUGGACCACCAAGGCAGCCUUGUAGCAACCAGCAGCAGUCAUAACAGACCCAACGACAAGCAAUCAAAUACCAGUAUUAGCUUUUCAGCCACUAAAGAAUCAUUUUUGUCAGUACGUCAAUUUUUUCGUGAUUGUUCAGCUGCAUCUAAAGUUCCCAUUUUGACACGUGUCAGUGUAUCUUAUAGAACACUUCAACGGUGGGAAUGGGACUCAAGUCUAAAAGAACAGCAGAUGGAGAAUUUUGAUUUUUGAAAACCUCAACAUCUAAAUUCGAUGUUUAAUUACUUUCCAUGAACCGAUAACUUCACAAAAGCCACCGAAAGAGUCCGGCGGUCCAAGUAGUGGUGGACCCCACGCAGGUGGCCCUCCAGGUCCUCCCGGUCCCAUUGCUAUUUGUUGAUUACUGUUGCCGGCUCUUUAAGCAAAGUUAGUUAACACCAAGGAAAUUAACAAGAGACUUUCAGAAGUCCAAACUCGCUCUUGCUUGUGUAUAUAGAGAUGCAAAAUGUUUUUAUGUUAAAUGAAAGUGGUACAAAUGCCAGAAGGUUUCUUGUGUUUAUAGAAAGUGCAUGCUUAGGAUUUAAGCAUCCAUCUUUGUUGUCACAUUUGCAUCUAACACUUUCCAACUGGCUAGACUUCUAUAUCUACAUUGAGAAAUGAGAAUGAUAGCAUUUACCCAUCAAAUGCUCAUUCAAUAAAUCAUCUUACCACAUGCACUUUCAUUUUUAUAAUUAACAAUCACAAUAGUGAUUUUGAUAAUUCAAGUGUUAAUCUCUGCAGUUAAAACCUACUAACAACAGUUAAAACUUACUAACAACCUAUGGAGGAUUUGUAUCCUACAGAUAUGACAGAGUGAUUUUUAAAUAAUUUUAUUUGAUUGGCUAGUCGGCUUCAAAUCUUAAGAGAAAUAAGGGACUUAAACAAAAUGAAUUUAGUCAAAAUGAAUCUGAACUUUACUCACCGCAUUGGAAAAAAAAAAAAAAACUACAAAAGGUUUAUUGACAAGAAUCUUCAGUGAUAAUCAAUUAGAUCAUAUUUUACUUUCCAGAAGAUGAUAUGUCUCAAAGAGGUUUAAGCCAAGAAAUUUCAAAAACGCAACAACAGAUGAACGGGUGUGAUUAGAAGUGCCACAGAGAAAUGAAAAGAAUACUAUAACUAAUACAUCUAUAAAUCUCAUUUCCAUGAUGACAGUAGCAGUGGGUUACCAAACCCAAUUGAAUUAUAUAUAUAUAUUUACUCGAAAAUUAGGUUAGAGGGAAAACUGAUUAUACAAAUUGUAUAGAAAAAUGGCCAAAAAAGCCGCCUUUCGCCUCUGUAUAUGUCAUGUUAACUAGUAUUCUCUUCCAGAUAAUUCAUCCCUAUACAACUCUGCAAAUCACAAGAAUCCUUCACGAAAUGGCCGCCAAUCCAAUAGAUUCCCCCUCUUCAGUUCUGCUUUCUGGGGCAUUAUCUGAGCUGCGUGGCCUUGCUGAAAAGAGAAUGCAACAGACUAGUAAGUAGACUGCAUUUGAAGAAUUGCAGAUUCGCUUGAAUUGAAAAUAAAAAUUAAGGCAUUUAUUAAAAUGGCUCUUAGAACAGCUUAAGGGCUAGUAUGGGCAGAUUAGUCAAAGGAUGGAAGAGAAAUUAUGCAAGAAUGCUUACUUGAAACAUUUGUGAUAACAUUAACACUUUUCUGAGCAGCAAGAGCUUUCAAAUUGUUCCCAGUACCUAAUACAAGCAAGCUCCUCAUAUGUUGCUUUUGUUCCCUAGGACUAGCUGUCUUCGUUAAAGCAUCUUCAAAAGCUAGCAAAUCUUGUGGGGUAAUACAAGGGAGAGAGAGUAGAACCUGAAAAAACCCGAGGGGGAAAAAAAAAAAAAAAGAAUACUUCCAUCAACAGGUUGAGCAACUACAACAAUAAAAGCUUAUCCCAGACUCACAAUCCGCAAGUUAUACAAACUUUUAAUUAAAACAUGGUGAAUUAUAGAACUAACCUGUCUCGGAGCAGGAUCUCUAUCACACAUAUAUAUGAAUAUCUCACGACAAAGACCAACCAGAUCAGCACUAAUAACAGCAUUUGACUCAAGGGCGAGACCUCGGAUAAUAGCAGAAAACAGAUCUUUCGAAACAAACUGCCGGAGUUCUAUAUUAUUUGAUUGUAUCGCUAGAAGAACCACAGCAGAACAAAAGGAAGAAACUUUUGUCACAGCUUCACCGUCUGUCCACGUGAAAGCUUCUAAAGAAAUCUGCAAUGCUGGAAGGGCAAGGUCUUUGUGCUUCAAGAGGAAACUGUAAAUGAAUUACAAUUAUCAGCCAAUAACGCAAUAUGACAACAUAGAUGUAAAAAUACUCCAAUAAAUACAAAGAAAAGGCUAUUCUUGUAAGAAACAGUAUGUAUGCCACAUACCCAACCAUAGAGUUCGAUGCAAAAGCAUCUAGAUCUUUCAGAGACAAAACGUCCACACGGUAAAAAUGCCCUGACUGUUCUAUUGGAGGAAUCCCAUUAUUUAAUCCUGACGAGGCCAUAGUAGAGAGAAGUGAACAUAUCUCACGAGUCAGAUCCCGAAGCAGUUUCUCUUCCAUUACUUCUACUUUCAAGUCAGACCCAGCAACUAUGCCAUGGAUGUCUGGAACCUUUGCUCGACCUUCAUGCAUAAGACUGGACCAAGAGCUGCUAAGAACUUGUUGACAGUGGAUAAAUAAUGGGUUCAGGAGCUUUUCCAGCCAGAACUCCCACAUAUCUAGGGGACAAAAUUUAACCAUAUGGAUUAAAACUGAAUGAACAAGCUGCCUUAUAUGCCUGAACUCCAUCGACUGUAUGUUCUCCAUCAGUGCCACGACAACUGAACCAGAGUCCAAAGAUUUAAAAAAUGGAUCUCCAAUGGUUGCUGAUAGUCCAAGUACAUUGUACCUGUGUGAGCAAAUUAAUGAUAAAAAAGGUAAUCGGGGAACAAGAAGGCUAAGGAGUUAAUAGUGAAUAUCCAAUAACGUCCUUCAUGUUUUUUCUUCAACUCUUUUAAGACUAAACUUUGCUUCUUACAUUGUAAACUGAUCAAGCAUCGCUUACAUACAGCCAAUACAUCAAUAUAUCUAUGAUAUUCACAUUGUUAAAGUUUAGGAGAUUAUAAUUAAACCCAGUCGUUAACUCAUUGCAGAGAAAGAUAUUAUCCUCCCAGAAGUAUUAAACAAACUAAUAACUAACUGUUUUUUUUUUUUCUUUAUGUAGUUUUUCUCUUUGGAAGAAAGUAAAUUACAAAAGGGUUUUCUUAGUAUAUAAAUGGCUUGGGUGGAAUGUAUGAUGGUAAAUUUCUUUUAAUUGAUCUGCACCAAAAUACAUACAAAACAACACUUCUAGUUUCCAAGCUAAAACCAUACUUACCCACUAUCUCUGACACCUUUUAACCAAUUACGUAUAUCAGAUUCAUUAGGCUCUCCAUAUCCUUCCUUACUUGUGUCCAACUGGGAACCAUCUGCAAAAGCUACUGCACCCUUUGAAAAUUUUGGGUUACCUUCCCCAAGAAGACUGAACUGCUCAGCAUCGCUCAUGGUCAUAGCUGCUUUUAUCUCUCCAGGCAAUAAUUGCGAUAUAGAUGGAGACCAGAUGGAAUGUAUAGCGCGAAGCAGCUAAAGAUGAAAAAUAAAAGUAAAAAAUGCUUACUACAUUGUGUUCAUCAAGAAAUGUUGUCACUUCAGAAGGCUUCUUGGUAAUUUUAAAGCGCUAUGGAGAUAAGGAAAUUCCAAAUGUCAGAAAUAAGAAGGAAUUACUUACUUUUAGGAGAGGAGGCAGCAUCCAUGAAAGAUGAGAAGCCAUUGGAUGCAUAACAGCAGAAUUUUCUGCGGAGCUGCUCUGUAAAUUCAAAUUGGCUUUUCUAAUUCCACUUCUCUUGAGUGCCCUUUCAAAGAAUGUCACGGUGUGAAAAAGUGACCACAUAAAUGAAGUAUCAGAGCACAAACGGACAAGUCCAAGUGGUUCAGACAAAUAAUUAUUUUGCCACUCAAGCUGCAUCCAUUGUUGGCUCAAAGGUUCAAGUAACCAGGCCAAAACUUCUUGUUGCUGUUGAAUCCUGCACCAAGUUGAAAAUUUAACAGGAAUCAAGAGAACUGCCAUAGACAUAGAUAAAAUGUCAGCUUAUGAUAAAUAAGUAAUUACCCAGCAGCAGAAGCCAUAACAAGAAAUGCUUCACCUAGAAGAUUAUGUUCACCACGAAGUAAACGACCUUCUCUUUGCAAAUAAGCCAUAGUGUCAGCAAUAUCCUGUAUAGAAAACAAUUAAGAUAAUGUUAACCAGAUAUCUCGCAGAAAAUCUUCGCUGUCACACUUUUGAUGACUACAGGUUUUCAUGACAUUACCCGUUUAUGGGAUGGCACAUUAUUAUAGCUAUUAGUGAUUUCACAAUAAUGUAUUUACAGUAAUUUCCUAUCUUGGAACUAUUUUAUCUCCAGUCCUCCAAUGCUUCUUUAGGUGCUGUUCUAUGUUUAAGAUAGUAGAUCCUGUAGAAAAGUUAUCUAUCAAUUGCCAAUGAAUCUUUGGAUAGCAUAAGAGAGGAUCGGUAUUAGCAUAUCAGAAUCUAGUUGCAAUUGAAAACCUUAUAUCCGGUCACAUACGCAUGAAUAAGUUCCAUGGGUUUUGUUUGGUCCCACUAGAUUAGGAUAAAUGCUAUCUAAGUAAUCAAACUGAUGAGCAUAAUCAGAUGUCAUAUAAGAAAACAAAAACUUACCUUCAUAUGAGGUAGGAUGCUUUUAUCAGACGUUUUGGCUAUUCUAAUAAAUGAUGUACAUAUCUGUAACCUUGCAUGUCGUGCACUAUUCGUUGAAGGAUCCUGCCAAGCAAACAAAAGGUUGGUAAUGGAAAGAAAAUUUAGAUCAUCAAUAAAUAGAAAUGAAGACAAAAAUUGAAGCUCAUUGAAAGAGAGAGAGAGAGAGAGAGAGAGAGAGAGAGAGAUGACCUUGAAAACAAAAGGAAGUGAGGUUAGAAGCUCAAAUAAUUUGCUGAUGACACCACCGACAGCAUCAGGGUAGUAUUUCAAAAAGGGACCCAAUGCAUCUAAAUAGUGCCCUAGAGCUACGACAAGGGGUGGCUCAGUCCAUUUCAGAGAAAGAAGUUGAUGAAGUAAACCUUCAAAUCAGAGCAACCAAACUAUUUUCAGCAGAACCAGAAAAGUAAAAGUCUGAAAUUUUUUAUCAGAUACAUAGAAAUCACAAAGAAACCUUCAAAUAUUCUGGACAGUGCAAGUGGAACCUCAGAAGUGGCCCCACCAAAUUGAUUUGACCCAUCAAAAACUGCACUGACAACAUUUUCUAGAGCUGAUUGCAUGCUUUCCAUUACAGCUAAAUCCUGCACUUCAGAAAAUAAGCGUUUAAAUUGAAACUCAAUCUUCCACACUAGGAAAUCUAAUAGCUAGGACCCAUGAAUUGAUUCCAAAUAAGCAUUUGCCAUCAAACCUGAGCAGGCAUUGUAGAAAUCAAGAGACUAUUAAUGAUUGCCAUAACUCUUUCAGAUACUUUAACACCAGCUACAAGGGGCUUGUUAGAAGCAACAAAUUUGACCAGCUCCAACUGCAUCAAGUAACAUAUCAGCAAAAAUUUGGUGAAAAUGUAAACUAAAUCAGCAUAAAGAUAUACAGAUAGCACUUGCAUGACGUAAGACUGUUGAGCAAUGGACAAGCAUUAAACUACAGCUGAUAACUCCCAAUGUGGAAAUGUAAACUGAAAUGAAAUGGAAAGGCUUAUACUGACAUUGUCCACUGGUGUGCAUAAUAUUAAUAAUUAUUCGUCUGAUUCAGUACUGAAAUAUGUGCAACACAAUUAAUUGCUCUCCUAAGGUGUAGAUAUCAUAAUUCAGUGAGUUAAUAUGUCUAUGAUUGAGCAAAAUUCGGAGGGUGCUGUGACAUCUUUCUUCAUCAAAUUGAUGCUACUGCCAAAGAAAUAAAAUAAAACUGGUAACACCAGUCCAAAGAACGUGCAAGUCGAGGCCCAUGGUCCAACAAAGCCGAUAUCUAUAUAUAACUUGAAUGUCUUGCAAACUUUCAUUAAAUAGAAGAAAGAAUGUGAAGAGUGCAGGAGCAAGACAACAGACAAAGCUAACAAAUUCCUAAUAGUUAAACUUCCACAUCAGAAGGAUAUUAAUGUAAGACGCAAAAAAUUGAAAACCUCCAAGCCUAUAAUCCAUGUAAAACAUACCAGCCUAGAUCGAUACUGGCUGAAAUCGCCCUUGCCUUCAAAAUCAUCACUCCACAACUCCAAAGGCCCUUGUGUUCCAGGAGCUUUCUCUCUCUUGACUAAGCGCUGGAAAGAUAUAUCAAGAAUUGCACCACUUAUAUCAUCAUUCAAAAAACUUAAAAUCCUCAUCUUUCGACUAUCAACCUUCCCAGAACCAGAGUCCGCAUUAUUAACAGUUGAUCCAUCUCCAGUUGAAUGUGCAACUUUUGUCUUUGACAUCAAAUCUCUCAUUAGUGCCUGCAAAAGAAAGCAAAAAGAGAAAUGUUAAAAGGCAGCUAUGUGAUAUCCCUCUGAUGAAAUACAAUAAUUUGAAUAAGUUUUUGCAUACCAGCCAAAACAACAACGAUUGAAAAUGAAGGGCUAUCUUGAAAUGUUGAAAGUAGCCCAGCAUCUGGAAGGACAUCAAAACAUUAAAGAAGAUGUUAAUUGAAUUAAUAUAUGUCAAGAAAAAAAAUUAAAUGUUGAGCGAAGAUGAGCAAGAUUAGAUGUCAGUUCCUCCACAAUGGCUUUGCCUUCAAAAUAUGUUUGUGUUGCCUAAACAUCAUAACUGAAUCCACAUGGCCUUUAUGGCCCAUUAUUAAACGUCUUGGGCAAUAAGAAGCAUAAAGUUAGACAAAAGAAUCCCCUUCCGUCUUCUCUUUUUAAUGACUUUUUUUUUUCCCUUAAACUUUUAUUUUUUUGUAAAAUAUGAAAUUACGAGUUUAAUAUGAGCUUCAGAUGCACAAUCACAAGCAGCUACAAUAGUAAAGACAUAAGAAAUGCAGGGGUAGAGAUGGAACUAAGAAAAUUUUCAGAGUAAAUUCACAUAUUUCAUACCCAAACCUUGUGAUGCAGGGAUAAGGUAAAGAAGAAAGACAUCUGCAAUGCAGCUUAAGUUAUAAGGAUUGAGACAUCAAUGUACCGGUCAGAUGCAUGUAAUUUCCGUUCUGAACCAGGAUAGCUUUGCUUAAGUGAACAAAGUAAUGGCAGCAGAAAAAGGAUCCAGUGAAGAUGUGAACUCUAAGAGCAAUUAUACAAAACUAAGGAUACGACAGAUGAUAUGGGAGAUUCUAAAGGAUAAGCUUUCAGCAAAAAGCCUUGAAUCAGAUGCCCAAUCAGCUUUAAGUGAUUCCAGAGGAGGUGUGGGCUAUACGAAUUACCUGCUGUAGGUACAUCGACAGUAUGGUGUCUUCCCUCGCAAUACAAUGCAAGUUUGAAGUACCCAAAGACACCAUGCUCUCGCAUAUAUAUUCAGCAAACUCAAACUCACUUUCAUCUAUAGCUCCAGCACUUGUCCCAGAUCUGUACAAAAAUUCUCCGGAGACUUUCAUCAGGAUCUGAAAGACAUCAUGCAUAGCAGACUCAAACUCAGAUGCGGAGGCAUCAGCAGGUCCCUUUCUGCAAUUUCACAUUGAGAACAUACAGUAUUCAUAAGAAUGCUCAGACAAGGAAAAUAAAAUAAGUUAACAGCAUACAAGAUUUAGUAUCUACCUUGGUGAGACAAGUUUGAAAAACUCGCAAGCAUGAAGACGGAAGUCUGGUGAUGAAAGUAAGAAACCACAACUGAUAUGAUAGAGAGAGGGUAAGAAACCAAUCCAGAACAAUAACUUGAAAUAAUAAGGCCGGAACGUUCAAAGAAAGGUUAUCUUACCCAUGAAUGAUACCAUAUUUAGCGAGAUCGGGCAAAGGAGCCCACUCAGCAUAUGCAUUUAUAGCAUUUAAAGUAGCUGUUACUGUAGCUGCAUGUUGUUUUGCAACGUCCAAUUGUUGCCUACCAACUUCACUUAAUGCAGCUCCAAAAUGCCUUUCUAGUAACUGUAUCAAGAAUUUAGGCAUUAGAAUAAUGCUAAAACAUUUUAACUUGUAGUGAAUGCAAAGAGUGAUCAUACACUGUACAGUAAAGGCAAAAUUUCGGGCAAGGAUUGAGUAAGGCCUCGCAACAGUAGCCUACGUCGAUCACCUGGUUAACACAUUCAAAAUCAUGUGAAGAGAAGGAAACAACUAUAUAAAUAUCAAACAAAGGCAUUCACAAAAAUCUUCCUCCAAAUAAGAACAGUAAAAGUAUGAUGGGAUAAAAGAAGCAUUAAAGAAGAAAGAGAACCCCACUACACUAAGGCUUUAAUUGGUAGGAAAAAAAAGAAGGGGACCAUAAAGGAAGGGAGAAUGAUGGUUUAACUUGUUUUGUACGAUCACAAAAGGAGUAGAUGGAAAAUGGGGGAGGGAUCCAUUUUACACCCUCACUCUCAGUUUCCAAUUCUCCCUAAUUAGAUGGAAAAGGGUGAGGACAUUAGAACUUAUGAAAAAUGCCGCAAUCUGAGAAAUUUCCCUCAUCCCUUCAGUUUUCCACCAUUUUUACCAAACAGACAGAAGGAAACACUUUUCUUCCAUUUUUUUUUUCUUACUUUCUAUCCCUUCAACCAACCAAGGCCUGAUCAUUAAACAUAAAUUUAAAAAAAAAAAAAAAGGACAUUCCACACGUACAAUUAGGAUUCAGAUGUCCAGAAAUUCAACUAGUUUAACCAUUACAAGUUAGCAUUCCUAGAUAGAGUUUCCAAAGAACAAAAUAUUCAUUCCAGCACACAUAGCAAAGAGUAUAGCCAAGGUAUUUCACCACAAACCUUCCAAAUCUUCAUUGUGGACAGUAAUAUCUUCAGGAAGCCACCUUAGCAUCAUGGAAACCAACUCAGCCUGAUAUAAAGAGGGAUGGGUAAAACCAAUUCAGUAUAAGUACCUUUAACGUAUUAGAAAGCAAAAUGGUUUCUUUAAAGUAGGAUAAGUUGAUAUACCUGAAUUGGACCCUUGCUGGAGAGGGUAGCUAGAGAAGGAAACAGCUCUUGCCAAAGAUUUAUGCCUUCUCUUCUAACUAUCUAUAAGAAUGAAAACAAAUAAGUACUGCAACUUGAAAACUGUCAUCGCCAUAGAAAUAGCUUAAACAGCAGUUGAGAAUGGUGGGAUGAAAACCUCUGCGACAAGGGCAGCUGUCUGACUUUUCAAAGCCCAUUCUUCACAAGGAUCUGCAAUCUCAGACAUCAAAUCAACUGCGACAUUUGCAAACUCCCCACGUUCUGUAGGAUUCAAUUCAUCCCACCUUAAUCUGACCAAAUGCUGUAGAAAGAUAGAUAUGUUAUAGUCACGUCACUCAAUUUAUCCUCAAACUUUACAACUCAUAAGAAUACAAACGCUAAUUUUCAAAAAUCAAAUAGCUGGAACCUAAUAUUCAUAUCAAGUGAGCAAUACAACCUCUUUCGAUAGAAAGGAACAAAAAGCCAGAUUUCUGUUUUUUCGGAUGAUUGCAUUUGUUCUUUAAGAUUAGGCCAUUAGGAAACAAAAAACAAAAAGACAUCAUAUUGAUCAAUAAAACAUUGUUCGGUAUGGGUUCAAUGGUAUCUAUUUGUCCCACAUCCACAUUGUAGAAAUAUAGAAGAGUCUCCUCCUACAAGAGACAGCGCUUUGAAAAGUUUCCGCCGACCCUUAUAACAGUGUAGUUGGAAGGACAUAUUCAAAAGCAUAUUACUGAUUUUACAGAUGAUUCUAACAUAAGAUGAGUCAGACAUCAAUGAUAACAUCUUAAAACAUAAGAUGAGUCCCAUCAAUAUCAAGUUCACAAUUUGGAUGGGCUAGAUCCAUGGCAAAGACAAGGUAAAGGAAUAUCUGCAUGAACCUGGAGCAUUUUAAAUGCAUGUAAUCGGAUUUCAGAAGACCAAUUCUUUUUGACCAGAAGGAAAGAUGUACUUGCCAAAAACCGUAUAUCUCCAGUUUUCACCUGAAAAUAUAAGAAAGCAAAUAAGUAUCAUUUCAAAAAUAAACUUUGGACAACAAAAAUUGAAAAACAAUAAUUCAGCCUUUACAAAAGGUCAAUGAUUAUAUGCUAUUUUUCAAUCGCGUUUAGAACUACAGAUCCUGAUAUCAUGCACAAGAGUGACCCUCAAGAAUCAACAAUCUAACCAAAGCUAAAUUUCAACAGCAACAAUGCAUGUGAAUGACUAUAGAAGUCCAAUUACUUGUACCCUUCCAUUUAAAGCCUAAAACUGAGUCAAAUACUAAUUGCCCUCACAAAAAGCUCACAUCUUUGCUCCUUCUUAAGAACCUCAAAUCGUAGUAACCCAACUUUCUUUCUUUUACAAACCCUACAAAUCAAUCAAAAUACCAUUUUUCCCAGCCAAAAAACCAUAAUACCAACUAUUUAGCCCAGUCACCAGACCCAUUUUGCCUAAGGCCUUCAAAUCAAUCAACCUAACAGUAAUCUUCAAAAUUACAACAUUUCAAGCAAUCCCAUAUCCAUCAAAUUCUCAAACUUUAGCAGAAUACCAUAAUUUCCCAAGUACUCUUUUUUCUAAAUCCCUCAAACUCAAUCAAAUUUAAACCAAUAAAACUCAAUCAAAUUUAAACUAAUAAUUCAAAAGAUUUAACACUUGUUAGCAUCCCAAAUCAACAAAAGCAUCUUCUGAUCAGAGCAUGUACAUAUAAACUAAAAGAACCAAAUUAUAUUUAUACAUAUAGCAAAGACCAUAAAAGAAAAAAAAUAAGUACGGAUUCAAGAUAAGAGACAGCGGCUUUGCGAGCUUCAGGAGCAGAGUUCCAGUCAAGGGCAGCGGCAAUAGCCCGAGCCACAUUGCUUGCUGGGUUAUUAGUAUCCUCCAUCACUAAUACUAUUCACUUCCGUUUCUGGGUUUGAUUAUUUAUUUAUUGUCUUUUUGCUUGGAAGAUGAAGAGAAUGAGGCUCUUGUGAAGCUUUCGUUGAUUUUGUAGAGGGAGAAUAAAAAAUAGGGAGCAGUUUCUCCUCUGUAAUGUUCUUUCCAAAGAGGUUUAUCAAUGUCUUUGUGGAGGUUUAAUUUUGCCAUUGGCAUAUCUAAUGAGUGCUUUUAAUUAUUAUUUUUUUAAUUUCAAUUUUUAUAUUUUUUUCGGAAGUAGAAUUACUUUAGUGGCUGAGACAACUGACUGCGGUUUCUAGUUCUUUUUAUUUUGAGCAACGAUAGAGUCACAAAUUAUUGUAUAAAUUUAUUUUGUAUAAAUUUAUGUGGUAUAAUAAGAUUGGUUGAAUUAAAUAUCACUUGUCCUAUAUGAUUUAUUUUUAUUAUUUUAUAUUUUUAUUCAAUAAUAAAUUAAUGUCACGUCGAUUUGUAUAAGAUAAAUUUAUAUAAAAAUUUAUGGUUCUAUCAUCACUCUUUUAUUUUAAAAAAAUAAUUUUUAGAUGACGAUCCGACAUUUUUUUUAAUAUUUUAAUAGAGGUACUAAUUGCAUAAGGCAAUAUAGAAAAUAUGAUAAUAAAUUAUAUGGAAAGAUUGAAGACUCAACUUUCUACUUUAAGAUAAAAGAAAAAAGAUGCCGACCAAUUCAGUUAUAGGUUGUCCAAUAUGAUCAAUAUCUAACAUUCUUUUUAAUAUUUUAAAUAAACCCAAUGGCAUAAUCAAUAUAAUUUUGUACUUUUAAAAAGAAUUUAGGUGGUAUUAUAAAAAAAUUUAUUGAAAAAACACUCGGUUAAACAUUUAAGAACAAAUAAACCAAUAAAAUUAAUAAGUACGUAACUUGAUUAUGUAAAAGUUAAUCACUUCCAUUUAGAAAAAUUAAGAAAAUGGAUAAAUACAGUCUCACAAAGUACAAAUAGGGUUUUUAAUUUUCUGAUUAAAUUCAAUUUAUACUCAAAUUUGUUAUCUCAAAAAAUUUGCACCAUUGUUGAUAACCAAUUUAAAUAAAAAUACAUAUGUGAUGGCGAUGGUACUAGACUACUAGUUCUUUGCCUGGCGUUACAAGUAUCCCUUAUAUUUUGUUAUUCUUAUUUGCCUUCUUGAAUAAGUUGCUAUGCACAUUGACUCAAAGAGUCAAGCAAGACUCAAACGAGGCAUGACCACCGUCCACCGUCCACCGAGCACCGACCAAGCCCACUUUCUUUUCGUGUCUUUCAUGUACUUCUCCACCCAAGCUGGCCUUGAAAAAAAAAUUAAAAAUGUAAAAGUCGAUCAAUAAUUGUUUCAAGCAUAUUGCAAAAGGGUGUUGAUAUCAACAGUUUUUUUUUUUAAAUCUACUCAAUUUUUAAGAAAUAAUUACAAUAAAUUUACAAUAUUUUUCUAAAUUUAAAUGAAAAAGAAGUAUUCAAAUAAAGAAAAAUUUGGAGACUUAAUCAAAAAAAUUAAAUAUCAAAACCAUUAAAUACAAGGUCUCAUAUUUUUUUAGAUAAUUUAAUCAUUUUAUAUUAUAAGGGUAAAAUAGUCAAAUAAAACUUAUCUUAAAGCAACAUUAAAAAUCAAAGAUAUUUAAGUGCAAAAAAUAAUAAAAAUAAUUUUAUUAAUUAGUUGUCUAAAACUUCUAGUUGACUUGUAAAUAUUGUGAACUUAUUCUAAUUAUUUUUUGGAGAUAGGGUGAAUUUACAAAGUUAAUGGUGGAAAUAUUCCCAAUCAUUUCAAAAACCACCACAUUUAUUAAAUUUCUCCAUAUUUAUGUGAGCCGAUAAUUAAUUUACCAAGAGAACUAAUUGGUGAUUUUGAGAAGAUAAAAGCAUUUUGGUAAAUUACUUUCUUAGUUGGGUUGUGUUUUGGGCCCACAGACCUACCAAUGAAUUCUUUACACGCUAUUUAUGGGUGAGUGGGCAUGUGGAUGUGUGUAGGGGUGGGCAAAAUCGGAUUUGGGUCGGGUUUGAGUUAUUCAGGUUGGGCAAACAUUGAUCCGAAUGCAACCCUAACUUACAAUCCGACCCGAUAUAUAUUCGGAUCGGUUCGGAUCGAGUCAAAAAUCGGGUUGAAUUCGGGUAAAAUCGGUUCGGAUUAAAAACGGAUCAUAUUGAGUUCGGGUCAAAUUAAGUCAAUUCGGGUCGAUGAAAACGGGUCAAUUCAAAACAUAUAUACCAAUACACCAUGAAAGCUUCAAAAUUCAAAACACAUAAGGGAGAAACUGGGGUCGUGUUGGAGGCUUGAGCCUUGGAACAGCAGAUCGGCGGCCACGGCAGUAGAUCACGGAUGGGUUUUCGGCAACAGAUCGGUGGACGCACAGCAACAGCUCGUGCACAGCUGGACGCGCAGCAGCAGAUCGCGAGGAAGGAGAGAUGGCUGGACGCAACACGACGGCUACAGAUCACGGACGCAACAGCAGAUGGUCGGACUCGCAACACGGCAGCAGCAGAUCGCGGGAGGGAGAGAAUGUUUUCUUGCUUCUUGAGGGUGGGUUGGGUAUUGUGAUUUUUUUUUUUUUUACUAAAGAGGAAGAGAAUGUGCCCAGGAUAAUUAACAAUGGAUUAGAGAAUUUUUCCUCAUAUUUAUCUCAGAUUAACGAGACUAAUUUCACUCAUCAUCAUCGCAACUUGUCUUCUAAAAAAAUCACAUUAAGAAAACAAAAAAAAAAAAGAAAGAAAUUUUGAGAAAGAACAAAUACGCAGACGGCUGAAUUGGGGUUUGUGUUUUGUUGUGAGUCAUGUGUUCGUGUAACUCUGUGAAUAUGUGUGGUGUGCGUGUGUUUACCACUUAGUUUUUUUUUUUUUUUAAAAAAGCAACCCAAUCGGGUUUUUUACCCGAUCCGAUCACAACCCGAUUGGGUUUGCAAGAUUUCAUCCGAUCGGGUUUUAUUCACAAUCCGAUCCGAUCCGAACCCGAAAUUUUUUAGGUCGGGUAUUUUGCCCACCCCUAGAUGUGUGUGUCUAUAUAUAUAUAUAAACUUAUAUACUAAAAAGCAAAUUGCCUACUAUAUACUAUUAUUCAUAUACAAGGCACCGGACUAGCGGCAACUAAAUAGAUAUAAUGGUUUUCAUCUAUAGAAGCAAGUAAUGGGAUAUAAUCUCAAUCCAAUCACCAGCGCCAUUUUUCUAGAGGCCUGAAAAUCAUUCAAACUUGCACUAGUCUACGAACUUUAAGCAUUUCAAACAAUCCUAUAUCCAUCAAAUUUCAAACUUUACCAGCAUACCAAAAUUUUCAAAGUACCCAAAUCCCCUAAACUCAAACAAAUUUUAAACUAAAUUUCCAUAAACUUACCACCUUUUAGCAUACCUUUUGAUCAGCAUAUGCAUAUAAAUGAAAAGAAACAUAAUAUAUUUAUACAUAUAGUAGAGAGCAGAAAGAGAAAGAAAGUACGGAUUCAAGAUAAGAGACAGAGGCUUUACGAGCUUCAGGAGUUGAGCUCCAGUAAAGGGUAGUAGCAAUUGCUUGAGGCACAUUGCUUGCUCGGUUAUUAGUAUCCUCCAUCUCUAUAUUGCACACUUUUCUCAUGGAUAAAGAGAAUGAAUUUAGUUCUUCUGAAGCUUUUGUUGAGUUUUCACAGAGAGAAGAAAAUUGGGAGUAAUUUCUUCUCAGUGAUAUUCACUUUAAAGAGGUUUAUCAAUGUCUAUGCCAUUUGUGAAUGUUUUAUUUUUCCAUUAACAUAUUUAAAUUGGAUUUUUAUUUUAUUACUGUUGAUUUUCGAGCAAGAAUCAACAUAAAAACUUGUAAAUAUGAAUUUAAAUACAUACCCGGAUUAUAUGCAGAAAAUCGAUAAAUCAAAGUUGUGCUACUGAUUGUGCUACUGAUUUAUGGUUAGAGGAUGAUCACAAAGUCGGAAAAUCGUCUUAGCUUACGGUACAAUAACCCUCUAAGUUUCUCUUGAGUUGAGUAUUCUCCAAAUUGCACUUUUUUUUUUGUGCUUAAAACUUAUUUUAUCUAUGGAUUUUCCCUCUAUUUAUAACAUUCCAAGAGUAAUGAUCAUCUUCUCAAUAAUCACUAAAUAAGCUUAAACAAUUGUUGGAGUGGUUAUCUUCUUAAUGAUCACUUAAUAUCUUAAAAUAUAAUAUUGUAGCAAUAUAUCAGAGAAGCGGUUCCUUAUUUUGUGAAGGCAAUUUGGGAUCAGGCGGAAUAAAGAACAAUAGAUAUCACUAGUUUAUAGAAAAAAUGACUAUCUUAUUAAGGUUGAAUUGGAGAAAUUGAAUGCUACUAAUGAAACGGACUUUACAAAUGUUAAUGUAGAGUUGAGUUGAGAAAAUUAGCAUAACACAAUAUAUCCACUAUUGAUUGCUUCGAUUAUAGUGAUAAUUGUCAUUUUUUCUUAUAAAUAUACGUAUACAAGUUUUUUUGCAUUCUCCAGCACAUUAAAGGUGUUUGGUAAUUGUUGGACAAAUGUGUGUGUGUGUGUGUGUGUGUGUGUGUCACUUUAAGGUCAACCAUGAGGGAAGCAUGAACAAGAGCAAGUGAUCAUUUUGAAUUAGAACUCUAUAAUAUCUUAAAUAUUAUAUUUAAUGAUAUUAAGUGAUCAUUAAGAAGAUAAUCACUACAACAAUUUUUUAAGCUUAUUUAGUAAUCAUUGAGAAGAUGAUCACUACUCUUGGAAUGCUAUAAAUAGAGGACAAAUCCAUAGAUAAAAUAAGUUUUAAGCCAAAAAAAAAAAAACAAAGCGCAAUUUGGAGAAAACUCAACUCAAGAGAAGCUUAGAGGGUUCUUGUGGCGUGAACUAGGAGGAUUUUCCGACUUUAUGAUCAUCCUCCGACCAUAAAUCAGUAGCACAACCUUGGUUUAUCGAUUUUCCGCAUAUAAUCCGGGUAUGUGUUUAAAUUCGGAUUUACAAGUUUUAAUGUUGAUUUUCGUGAUUCUUGCUCGAAAAUCAACAUUGGUAUUAGAGCUAAAGACCCAAGCAUGUUCUUUAAUCAGAACACAUGCUUUACAUGCUUAAAUCAUAACACAACUUAUUUAGCUCUGACACCAAUGUUGAUUUUCGAGCAAGAAUCAACAUAAAAACUUGUAAAUCCGAAUUUAAACACAUACCCGAAUUAUAUACGGAAAACCGAUAAAUCAAGAUUGUGCUACUGAUUUAUGGUCGGAGGUUGAUUAUAAAGUCGGAAAAUCCUCUUAGUUCACGCCGCCAGAACCCUCUAAGCUUCUCUUGAGUUGAGUUUUCUUCAAAUUACACUUUGUUUCUUCUUUGCUUAAAACUUCUUUUAUCUAUGAAUUUACACUCUAUUUAUGACAUUCCAAGAGUAGUGAUCAUCUUCUCAAUGAUUACUAAAUAAACUUAAACAAUUGUUGGAGUGAGUAUCUUUUUAAUGAUCACUUAAUAUCUUUAUAUAUUUAAGAUAUUAUAGAGCUCUAACUCAAAAUGAUCACUUGCUCUUGGUCAUGCUUCCCUCAUAGGUGACAAUUACCAAACACCUUUAAUGUGCUAGAGAAUGCAAAAAACCUAUAUACGUAUAUUUAUAAGAAAAAAAUGACAAUUAUCACUAUAAUCAAAGCAAUCAAUAGUGGAUAUAUUUUGUUAUUCUAAUUUUCUCAACUCAACUCUACAUUAACAUUUGCAAAUUCCGUCUCAUUAGUAUCAUUCAAUUCCUCCAAUUCAAUCCUAAUAAGAUAGUCAUUUUUCCUGUAAACUAGCAUUCAAUUCUCAAUGAGCAUAGUUGUCUUAUCUCGAACUGCCUUCACAAAAUAGGGAACUGCUUCUCUGAUCUGCUGCACAUAUUUGGGGUGUUCAGUAUACAAUCCUAACUUUGGAAAAUGAUAUGUAUCGAGUUUGUUAUGAUCAAUUACGAAGUCAAUAAACUUGUCUACUGCAGAAGGGAGGUAUUUAGUUGGAAUGAACUUAUGUAGAAACCAAGAGCUAUGGUUUUGGACGAGUGUCCUUAGAGCAGUUUUCAUCUGAGUCAUGUACUCAUCCACCCUCUGUUGUUCUUUAGCUGCAUGUAAAAUAAGUAAAUCACGAUGAUUAAAUCACUAAAAAAUCUUCUAUUUUAAAAUAAAAUAAACGGUAAUAUUAUAUUUAACAAAAUCAAAUAGCUUUCAAAAAUAAUUUUCAAAAUCUCACGUGAUAAAACAAACUGAGGUUGAGGCUCAACUGGUUGGGGUUGAGGCUGUGAUGGUCCUAUUGGUACAAUAGUCGGAUGAACUAUUAAAAAAAAGGACAAAAAUUAGCUUUAUCCCUCCCAUUUUUUCCUUUUGGGUUUGGAACUUAUAUUUUUAAAAAUACAACGGUAUGCGCAACAAUUCAAUAUGAAAAGAAAAUAUUUCUCUUUGAUCUUUUGUUAAUCAACUCUAGUUUCUUAUUAUAAAGAAAAAUAUAAUUUUUUUUAGAAAAUGUUGAUGUCCACCAUUUAUCAUUUUACAAAAAGCACAACCCAUUAGUUAAUUGAAACUUUUUCUGAAUCAUCAAAAAAUAUAUUGCUACAAUAACUACAUAUAAAUCCUUAGUCUUAAAUUCAUACUUUUUCAUUGGGUAGUUUGUUUUCUCAUCACUCCAAAAUCAGAGUUUAAAAGGAUAAGAAUCAACAUAAAUGUGUCAAAAUAAUAAAUUAUAUGAGUAAUUUUACUAAAUUUUAAAUUAUAAAAAUAAAAAGAGGGUAGACGAGAGCCGAUUGUACCACCCUUCAGACUCUUCACCUUUGGGGGGGGGGGGGGGGGGGGGGGCAGUGUAAUUAGUAAACUGUUGAAGUGCUUUAGGUAGAAUACGUGGUCCCUCAGGCUAAGAUGGGAGUGUCUGUGGUGAGAUGGUAGCCACUGGUUGAGAUGGGGCUAUUUGUGGCAUCGUGGUAGUUCACUGGCUGAGAUGGGGCUAUCUAUGGCAUCGUGGUAGUCGCUGGCUAAGACGGGCCUGACUGUGGUGUUAUGGUAGCCACCGGGUCAACUAUUACAUGAUUUUUUUUUAAAAAAAAACUAAGAUUUAAUAAAUAAUAAAUAACAAAACAAUAAAACAAUCUAUUAAUUAAAUAACUAAUUGAUUGAUUGACUAAUAAUUUUAUAUUUAAAAUUAUAAAUAUAAAAAGAGGGUAGACGUGAGCCGAUUGUACCUCUCUUGAAACUCUUCUUAUCACCCCGGGGGAUAUAGAUAGUAAAUUGUUGAAGUGCUUUUGGUAAAAUACCUGGUCCCUCAGUCUGAGAUGGACCUGUUAGUCAUGUGAUGAUAGCCACUGGGGGCUAUCUCUGGCAUCGUGGUAAUCACUGGUUGAGAUGGGGCUAUAUGUGGCAUCGUGGUAGUCACUGGCUGAGACGGGCUUGACUGUGGUGUGAUGGUAGCCACUGUGUUGGGAUCAACGAUUACGUGAUUUUUUUUUUAAAUGAACAACUAAAGUUUAAUAAAUAAUAAAUAACAAAACAAGAAAACAAUCUAUUAAUUAAAUAAAUAAUUGAUUGAUUGAUUAAUAAAUUGAUGGAUAUCUGAUAUCUCAGCUGCUUCCUGAUAUUCAGAUUGGCGGGGUUGGCUUGCUACGAUGUUGGAGCCUGGAUCAGCAGUACUGAACAAAAACAACAUUUGAUAAAUAACUAACUAGUAAAAAAACUAAUUUCUUACGACAAAAAAAAAAAAAAAAAAGAAAGAAAACUAAUUUACCAACUAAAUAAUAAUUAAUGAGUAAAUAAAUCCUUAUAUUUUAUUUCUUUAGAAAAAAAUUGAGGUUUAUU